rnacentral:rRNA from 1 species
UACCCGCAGCACAAGUGGUGGUCAUUAUUAUUGGGCCUAAAGCGUCCGUAGCUGGCGUGUUAGAUGCCUGGGUAAAUCGAUGCGCUUAACGCAUCGAAUUCCGGGUAGACCGGCACGCUCGAGACCGGGAGAGGUAUGGGGUACUCGGGGGGUAGGGGUAAAAUCCUGUAAUCCUCCGGGGACGACCAGUGGCGAAGGCGCCAUACUAGAACGGCUCUGACAGUGAGGGACGAAGCCCUGGGGCGUAAACCGG